rnacentral:rRNA from 1 species
AAAUUCUAAGGCGUAAUGGGGAAGGCCAUAUAGGCCGAAGUACAUGAUUCCAUGCUUCCAAGAAAAGCAUCUAGAGAGAGAAGUAGUGCCCGUACCGCAAACCGACACAGGUAGAUGAGGAGAGAAUCCUAAGGCCGGCGGAAGAAUUGCAGUUAAGGAACUAGGCAAAUUGACCCCGUAAGUUCGCGAGAAGGGGUGCCUGCGAGAGCAGGCCGCAGAGAAUAGGCCCAAGCAACUGUUUAGCAAAAACACAGGUCUCUGCUAAAGCGUAAGCUGAUGUAUAGGGGCUGACGCCUGCCCGGUGCUGGAAGGUUAAGGGGAACACUUAGCGCAAGCGAAGGUGUGAACUUAAGCCCCAGUAAACGGCGGCCGUAACAAUAACGGUCCUAAGGUAGCGAAAUUCCUUGUCAGGUAAGUUCUGACCCGCACGAAUGGCGUAAUGACUUGGGCACUGUCUCAACUGCAAAUCCGGCGAAGUUGUAGUGCGAGUGAAGAUGCUCGCUACCCGCGAUUGGACGGAAAGACCCCGUAGAGCUUUACUGUAGCUUAGCAUUGAAUUCCGGUAUUGUCUGUACAGGAUAGGUGGAGACUGGGAAACUAGGGCGUCAGCCUUAGUGGAGUCAACCUUGGGAUACCACCCUGACAGUACUGGGGUUCUAACAGGACGCCAUGAAUCUGGUGACUGGACAUUGUUAGGUGGGCAGUUUGACUGGGGCGGUCGCCUCCUAAAAAGUAACGGAGGCGCCCAAAGGUUCCCUCAGAACGGUCGGAAAUCGUUCGUAGAGUGCAAAGGCAGAAGGGAGCCUGACUGCGAGACAUACAAGUCGAGCAGGGACGAAAGUCGGGCUUAGUGAUCCGGUGGUACCUCGUGGGAGGGCCAACGCUCAACGGAUAAAAGCUACCUCGGGGAUAACAGGCUGAUCUCCCCCAAGAGUCCACAUCGACGGGGAGGUUUGGCACCUCGAUGUCGGCUCGUCGCAUCCUGGGGCUGUAGUAGGUCCCAAGGGUUGGGCUGUUCGCCCAUUAAAGCGGCACGCGAGCUGGGUUCAGAACGUCGUGAGACAGUUCGGUCCCUAUCCGUCGCGGGCGUAGGAAAUUUGAGAGGAGCUGUCCUUAGUACGAGAGGACCGGGAUGGACUGACCUCUGGUGUACCAGUUGUUCCGCCAGGAGCAUGGCUGGGUAGCUAAGUCGGGAAGGGAUAAACGCUGAAAGCAUCUAAGCGUGAAGCCUCCCUCAAGAUGAGAUUUCCCAUAGCAUAAGCUAGAAGACCCCUUGAAGAACACAAGGUUGAUAGGUCAGAGGUGUAAGUGCGGUAACGUAUUUAGCUGACUGAUACUAAUAGGUCGAGGGCUUGACC